ACAGCGUUCUGAAAGGAAGAUUAAUACCGGAUUGCAUCAUGAGUUCACAUGUCCGCAUGAUUAAAGGUAUUUUCCGGUAGACGAUGGGGAUGCGUUCCAUUAGAUAGUAGGCGGGGUAACGGCCCACCUAGUCAACGAUGGAUAGGGGUUCUGAGAGGAAGGUCCCCCACAUUGGAACUGAGACACGGUCCAAACUCCUACGGGAGGCAGCAGUGAGGAAUAUUGGUCAAUGGGCGAUGGCCUGAACCAGCCAAGUAGCGUGAAGGAUGACUGCCCUAUGGGUUGUAAACUUCUUUUAUAAAGGAAUAAAGUCGGGUAUGCAUACCCGUUUGCAUGUACUUUAUGAAUAAGGAUCGGCUAACUCCGUGCCAGCAGCCGCGGUAAUACGGAGGAUCCGAGCGUUAUCCGGAUUUAUUGGGUUUAAAGGGAGCGUAGAUGGAUGUUUAAGUCAGUUGUGAAAGUUUGCGGCUCAACCGUAAAAUUGCAGUUGAUACUGGAUGUCUUGAGUGCAGUUGAGGCAGGCGGAAUUCGUGGUGUAGCGGUGAAAUGCUUAGAUAUCACGAAGAACUCCGAUUGCGAAGGCAGCCUGCUAAGCUGCAACUGACAUUGAGGCUCGAAAGUGUGGGUAUCAAACAGGAUUAGAUACCCUGGUAGUCCACACGGU
rnacentral:rRNA from 1 species